UAAAAGUUCAGCUGGUAGAAGCAGUAAAAAAAAAAAUAGUUAAAGCUUUUCAAAAGAUGUGUGCAGGGGGGUAGAGGAUGUCACUUUAAAUAUGAAUGUAAUGCAUGUGGAUGACUGACAGUAUUGUCCAAUUAUCUUACAGAAUCUGAAUCUCCAGACCUGACCUGCUGUAAGGAUGAAAUCAUGUACAGAUACCAGCUAACAAAACAUGACCUUUUGGCUGUUCAAUAUUAGCUUUUUUUUACUAUCAACUAAUUAUAUAUCUAAUCAGGAGAGGUAUUUUCUACUUUUUUAGCUAAGAAAACUUUUCUUAGCUAAAAGAGAGAGAGAGGUAAUGCACCAGUUUGAUUAUAAAAUAAUGGACCAAUCUCAUGGGAUUCUUUACACUACAUAGGAUGAAGUACUACAUUCGUAUCAUACAUUAUAUAGUGCGGUUAUAUAGCAAGUAAGGAGCUGUAUCCCACCUCGCUCCCUAAUAGACACAUCUAUUAUCUCUGGAUUUCAUUAAUAUCUACUUAAUUGAGAUAUCUCUGUACGACAUAAAAUGUUAUAAUGUUUGUCUGUGAGGGUAGAUUAAUAUCUAUUUCAAAAUUCUGUCACUGUAAUAUGUUUCAGUUCAUGUUUAUGUAAGCAUGUUUAUGUAAGAGUUUUGUGUGUUGUACUUUAUUUUUCAGGGUUAGUAUGUUUGAAUGGUGGGUGUAGAAUUUAACAGACAGGACAGUCAAUGAGAACAACAGACAAGACAGGACAGCAGACGCGACAUGGACAUUGUGCAAGCCAGGACGGUGGGUUGAGAGGUCGGGGGGAAUGGGGGGUGAGAAGUUGUUGGGGUGUCGGUUGUGUUAAUUAAUACGUAUAACAGAAUGUUGUGUGUAUGUGUGUGUAAUUUAGCUGCAUGUGUUUGUGAGCAUUGUUCUUGAGAUGUGUGGUAUGGCUUUGAUUAUGUGGUUUGUCUGUAGGGACUGUAUUGCUAGAGAUUGUGAGGUGAUUCCCUGGUGUAUGUAGGUGAUGAGUGGUGUCCAAAUAGAGUCAAAUUUGGUAGCUUUAGUUUUGAUCGAGGCAGAGAUUUUUUCCAUUGUUAAGUAGUUGAUUAUUAGGUUUUUAUAAUGGGUGAUAUUAAUGUUAUUCUUUGAUUUCCAGUCUGUUAGUAUGGUUUUCUUGUCGAUGGUCAGCGCUGUAAGAAGAACUGUUUUGUAUUUUCCUGUUGAUCUCAGAUGUAUCUUUGAGUAAGCAGAUUGAAGGGAAGAGUGGGAUGAUGUGAUUUAUAAAACGAGAUUUUUCCUUAGUGAUUUGAUCCGAGACAUUCUUAACUGCCCAUAUGGCAUGUAUGUAAUCGUCUGGUGUAUUUUACUGAAAUUAUAGUUUUAUCAAAUUUCCACCCAGCUGUUAAAGUCCCUGCAAUCGUUGGGCUUUUGAAGCAGGAAUAGCAUUUGAUUGCUGUGCUGAUGAAUGGUAUAUCCAAGAUUCUGAUUGCUUUGCAUAGUCCCUGUUCUGCAUCUAGCCGUAUCUCAUUAAUCUGACAGGGUUUUAUCCACUUGAUUAUAUAUUGGAGUUGGUUAGCGAGUUAGUUGAAAGUUUGAAAGUUUGGGGCAUCAAGUCAUCCAUAAUGUUUGGGUCUUUGUAAAGUAGUUCAUUUGAUUCUGGGAGGUUUGUUUUCCCAAUUAAAUUUUAAAAUAAUGGAAUUGAGUGAUUUGAACCAGGAAGGGGGGAGGUUGAGCAGGGAUCAUUGAAAAUGAUGCUAUUCUGCCAAUGAGAGAGAGGAGAAGGUUUAUCCAGGGUUGGAGAUCAUUAUUUAUGGUGUUUGAUAAUGGGAUAAAAUUGAGUUUAUGCAGGUCUGACAGCUUGGCAGAGAUCUUUGAAACCAAGAUAAGUGAUGUAGUGAGUGCACAUGGGGAUAGGUAGAAAUUGAACAGUUGAGUAGUGAACAAUUGCCUUGUAUAGUAUUGAACAAUUAACUUGUAUAGUAGUGAACAAUUACCUUGUAUGAUAGUAAAGGGUUCAGGUAAUAAAUUAAACCUGAACUCUUCACUACCAUACAAGUCAAUUGUUCACUAUUAUACAAGUCAACUGUACACUGCUAUACAAGGAAAUUGUACAUUGCUAUACAAGUCAAUUGUACACUGCUAUACAAGUCAAUUGUACACUGCUAUACAAGGAAAUUGUACACUGCUAUACAAGUCAAUUGUACACUGCUAUACAAGGAAAUUGUACACUGCUAUACAAGGAAAUUGUUCACUACUAUACAAGUCAAUUGUACACUGCUAUACAAGGAAAUUGUUUGCUACUAUACAAGGCAAUUGUUCACUACAAGGAAAUUAUAUGCUAUUAUAUAACUAAAUGGGCCCUUUUCACACCAAAAACAGAAGUUCUUAGAUGCAGGAUAAAAUGAGUUCCAGUAAACUACUUGUCUACUACUGAAACAGUGGUGUUAUCACCUUCACUCACAAUGAAAAGAUUUUUCACUUCAUAUUUGUCUAUGCUGCUGAGAUAAAACUUCAUAGAUGUGUCCCUAACUCGGCGAGAACGCUGAGAACUCAGCAACAAAGGUUUACACACUGAAUAAAUGAUAUGAAUUCUUUAUGGAAGAAUUAAUUCCCAGUCAUCAGGGUAAAGUUGUGGAUAGAUGAACACUAAGACCUAGCGUUUUGCUAGCUGCAUUUGUAGCUAAUUAAGAGUUAACACUAGUAGUGAGACUGAUAACUGUUUGUUCAGUUUACCAGUUAAUGAAGUUCAAUAAAGAACUGCACGAUCUUAAGACUAAACUCCCACAGGUGGCAUUAGAGACCGACAGAUUCACUUUGUUUGCUAUGUAAAUCAUUUAUACUGAGGUUGUUUAUUUCUAAACUGUUUCUGAUUUUUGUAUAACAGUUCUGAUCAACAGUUUUAGACUCGGCCAUUGUUGUUGUAGCAGUAAAGUUACCCUGCGAGGACCUCUUCUGUCAGCGAAAACCGGAGAUGUGAAUAGGGCCCAGUAUUUCUAUUAUGUACUUUUCAACAAAUGUAUCGUUGAACAUCUGUACUAUCUGGGAUCUGGGAUCUGAUGUUUUAAGUGCUACUACCAAUACAAUAUGUAAGACUUGUUCUCUAUAAAUAAACGGAUUUCAUCUUACAAUAA
ensembl:lncRNA